rnacentral:rRNA from 1 species
UACGGUUGCGUAACACGUAGCUACUUGCCCCACAGUGGGGGAUAACCCGGGGAAACCCGGGCUAAUACCGCAUACACCCGAGAGGGGAAAGCCGAAAGGCGCUGUGGGAUAGGGCUGCGGCGUAUCAGGUAGUUGGUGGGGUAACGGCCUACCAAGCCGAUGACGCGUAGCUGGUCUGAGAGGAUGAUCAGCCACACUGGAACUGAGACACGGUCCAGACUCCUACGGGAGGCAGCAGUGGGGAAUCUUGGNCAAUGNGGGAAACCCUGACCCAGCAACNCCGCGUGGAGGAAGACGCCCUUCGGGGUGUAAACUCCUUUUGCAGGGGAAGAGAGAGACGGUACCCUGCGAAUAAGCUCCGGCUAACUCCGUGCCAGCAGCCGCGGUAAUACGGGGGGAGCUAGCGUUACUNGGAAUCACUGGNCGUAAAGGGUGCGUAGGCNGCUUACUAAGUUGGGAGUGAAAUCCCACGGCCUCANCCGUGNAACUGCUUCCAAAACUGCUAAGC